rnacentral:rRNA from 1 species
UAGGGAAUUUUCCGCAAUGGACGCAAGUCUGCCGGAGCAACGCCGCGUGAGUGAAGAAGGAUUUCGGUUCGUAAAACUCUGUUGUCAGAGAAGAACAGCGCAUCGAGUACCUGUUAUGCGUGUGACGGUAUCUAACCAGAAAGCCACGGCUAACUACGUGCCAGCAGCCGCGGUAAUACGUAGGUGGCAAGCGUUGUCCGGUAGUAUUGGGCGUAAAGCGAGCGCAGGCGGUCAAUUAAGUCUGAUGUGAAAGCCCCCGGCUCAACCGGGGAGGGUCAUUGGAAACUGGUUGACUUGAGUGCAGAAGAUGAGAGUGGAAUUCCGUGUGAGGCGGUGAAAUGCGUAGAUUUAUGAAAGAACACCAGUAGCGAAGGCGACUCUCUGGUCUGUAACUGACGCAGAGGCUCGAAAGCGUGGGUAGCAAACAGG